UACAGAGGGUGCAAGCGUUAAUCGGAAUUAUUGGGCGUAAAGCGCAUGUAGGUGGUCAUUUAAGUCUGAUGUAAAAGCCCUGGGCUUAACCUGGGAACGUCGUUGGAAACUGAGUGACUAGAGUCGGACAGAGGGCCGUGGAAUUUCCGGUGUAGCGGUGAAAUGCGUAGAGAUCGGAAAGAACACCCGUGGCGAAGGCGGCGGCCUGGGUCCAGACUGACACUGAGGUGCGAAAGCAUGGGGAGCAAACAGG
rnacentral:rRNA from 1 species